CAUAAUCCAAUUAAAAUUUUAUUAAUUAUAGCAAGUAGAAUAUGAGCAAAAACAGCGCUGGACGACAGGGGAGUCUGCGCUCCGCCACUGCCGUGCUGAGCAGUUCAAACAGUCCCUUUUUAUACAUCUUUACUUCCGUGUUCAUGAAGUAGUGGAGGUACUCUGCGCAUGCUUCAGUUGUUGUUAGGGGAUCGUUUUCUACCUCCUGGUGGUCGUUGAGGCCGAAAUAAGAAGUCUUUCUCCUUUAUCCCAUAGUUGACCCCUCAUUCACAUGUCCUUAUCUGGGGUUGUUUGUCCUGUUUCUGUCGGUUCCUGGAAGUCUGGCGGUUAUCUCGCGAUUGUGGUUAUCUUAUCUUACUCAAGCAGUGUCUGGGUUUCUGUUUGCAUAAGCGAUUUCACAUCUUUGUUGCCUAACCUUUACAUUGAGCUUAACAUAAAUCUUAAUAAACAAUAUCCUAGUCCAUAGUUUCUCACAAUCCCCCCUUUUUCUUUUUAUCCUAUUGUUGUUUAUUAGACGUUACUUUCAUUUUCGGCACUGCGAACAAACCUUUUUCCACAAUCCCAAUAUUUAUCAUAACACUCACAAGGUAAUACCUCACAAUUACAAAAGGCAUAGUUCUCACAUGGCAUAAUUCUCAUUACAAGCAAUAGUAAUACCUACUUAAAGGUAAUAGUAUUAAACAUGCUCUUGGUCCCAAUAUCAUCUGAUUUUCCCAGAUAUUUAGGUUGUUACUCUUGUGAGAAACUAUGGACUAGGAUAUUGUUUAUUAAGAUUUAUGUUAAGCUCAAUGUAAAGGUUAGGCAACAAAAGAUGUGAAAUCGCUUAUGCAAACAGCUACCAGACACCGCUUGACUAAAAUAAGAUAACCACAAUCGCGAGAUAACCGCCAGACUUCCAGGAACCGACAGAAACAGGACAAACAACCCCAUAUAAGGACAUAUGAAUGAGGGGUCAACUAUGGGACAAAGGAGGAAGACUUCUUACUUCGGCCUCAACGACCACCAGGAGGCAGAAAACGACCCCCUAACAACAACUGAAGCAUGCGCAGAGUACCUCCACUACUUCAUGAACACGGAAGUAAAGAUGUAUAAAAAGGGACUGUUUGAACUGCUCAGGACGGCAGUUGGCGGAGCGCAGACUCCCCUGUCGUCCAGCACUGUUUUUGCUCAUAUUCUACUUGCUAUAAUUAAUAAAAUUUUAAUUGGAUUAUG
rnacentral:lncRNA from 1 species